rnacentral:rRNA from 1 species
GAGUUGUAAUCUGGAGAAGCGUUUUCCGUGUCGGACCGUGCACAAGUCUCUUGGAACAGAGCGUCAUAGAGGGUGAGAAUCCCGUUUUAUGGCACGGACACCCGAUACUUUGUGAUACGUUUUCUAAGAGUCGAGUUGUUUGGGAAUGCAGCUCAAAAUGGGUGGUAAAUUCCAUCUAAAGCUAAAUAUAGGCGAGAGACCGAUAGCGAACAAGUACCGUGAGGGAAAGAUGAAAAGCACUUUGGAAAGAGAGUUAAACAGUACGUGAAAUUGUUGAAAGGGAAACGCUUGAAGUCAGUCGCGUCUUCUAGGACUCAGCCUUACUUCGGUUAGGUGUACUUCCUGGUUUGACGGGUCAACAUCGAUUUUGAUCGACGGAUAAAGGAGAAGGGAAUGUGGCACCUUCGGGUGUGUUAUAGCCCUCUUCGUAUACGUCGAUUGGGAUCGAGGACUGCAGCACGCCCUUGUGGCCGGGGGUUCGCCCUACGUAUCGUGCUUAGGAUGUUGACAUAAUGGCUUUAAGCGACCCGUCUUGAAACACGGACCAAGGAGUCUAACAUGCUCGCGAGUGUUAGGGUGGAAAACCCUUGCGCGUAAUGAAAGUGAAAGUUGGGACCUCUGCAAGGAGGGCACCGACGCCCGGCCCUGAAGUUCUCUGACGGUGCUGCGGUAGAGCGCGUAUGUUGGGACCCGAAAGAUGGUGAACUAUGCCUGAAUAGGGGGAAGCCAGAGGAAACUC